rnacentral:rRNA from 1 species
UAUCUCUCGCAUGUCUCAAGAUUAAGCCAUGCAUGUCUAAGUACACACUGUGGCACAGUGGAACCGCGAAUGGCUCAUUAAAUCAGUUAUGGUUUAUUAGAUCGUGCGUUCUAUGUGGAUAACUGUGGUAAUUCUAGAGCUAAUACAUGCAACUGGCCCUGACUUUACGGAGGGGCGCUUUUAUUAGAUCAAAACCAAUCACACUUCGGUGUGUUGUUGUGAUGACUCUGGAUAACUUUGUGCCGACCGCAUGGCCUUGUGCCGGCGGCGUAUCUUUCAAAUGUCUGCCCUAUCAACUUUCGAUGGUAGGUGAUAUGCCUACCAUGGUUGUAACGGGUAACGGAGAAUCAGGGUUCGAUUCCGGAGAGGGAGCCUGAGAAACGGCUACCACAUCCAAGGAAGGCAGCAGGCGCGCAAAUUACCCACUCCCGGCACGGGGAGGUAGUGACGAAAAAUAACAAUGCUGGGCUUCAAGUCCGGUAAUUGGAAUGAGUACACUUUAAAUCCUUUAACGAGGAUCUAGUGGAGGGCAAGUCUGGUGCCAGCAGCCGCGGUAAUUCCAGCUCCACGAGCAUGUACGUAAGUUGUUGCAGUUAAAAAGCUCGUAGUUGGAUCUCAGACCUGUGGUCAGUGGUCCGAUCUAAUUGGUUGUGUACUGCUGUACCCGGUCUACGUCUGGUUUUAUGUCUGUGUUUGCCCUUUACCGGGUGAUGCAGGCUGCCAGAAAGUUUACUCUGAAAAAAUUAGAGUGCUUAAAGCAAGCCGUUUGUGCUUGAAUACUGUUGCAUGGAAUAAUGAAAUAGGACCUCGGAUCUAUUUUGUUGGUUUUCGGAGUCGAGGUAAUGAUUAAGAGGGACAGACGGGGCAUUCGUAUUGCGCCGUUAGAGGUGAAAUUCUUGGAUCGGCGCAAGACGAACGACUGCGAAAGCAUUUGCCAAGGAUGUUUUCAUUAAUCAAGAACGAAAGUCAGAGGUUCGAAGACGAUCAGAUACCGUCGUAGUUCUGACCAUAAACGAUGCCAACUGGCGAUCCGCCGUAGUCUGUUGUUAACGAUUCGCGGGCAGCUCUGGGAACCUAAGUCUAUGGUUCGGGGGAGUAUGGUUGCAAGCUGAACUAAGAUGACGGAGGCACACAGAAUGAGCUGCGCCUAUUUGACUCACACGGAACUCACCGGGCAG